GGUUUCUCUGUGUAGCCCUGGCUGUCCUGGAACUCACUCUGUAGACCAGGCUGGCCUUGAACUCAUAGAUUCGCCUGCCUCUGCCUCCCGAGUGCUGGGAUUAAAGGUGUGUACCACCA
rnacentral:miRNA from 1 species